rnacentral:rRNA from 1 species
GAUAAACGCUGGCGGCGCACAUAAGACAUGCAAGUCGAACGAACUUAACCAUUAGUUUACUAUUGGAGCGGUUAGUGGCGGACUGGUGAGUAACACGUAAGCAACCUGCCUAUCAGAGGGGAACAACAGUUAGAAACGACUGCUAAUACCGCAUAAUGUACAGAGGGGGCAUCCCUUUUGUAUCAAAGGAGAAAUCCGCUGAAAGAUGGGCUCACGUCUGAUUAGCUAGUUGGUGGGGUAAAGGCCUACCAAGGCUGCGAUCAGUAGCCGGACUGAGAGGUUGAACGGCCACAUUGGGACUGAGAUACGGCCCAG